rnacentral:rRNA from 1 species
UACGGAGGGUGCAAGCGUUAAUCGGAAUUACUGGGCGUAAAGAGCUCGUAGGCGGUUUGUCGCGUCUGCUGUGAAAACGCGAGGCUCAACCUCGCGCCUGCAGUGGGUACGGGCAGACUAGAGUGCGGUAGGGGAGAUUGGAAUUCCUGGUGUAGCGGUGGAAUGCGCAGAUAUCAGGAGGAACACCGAUGGCGAAGGCAGAUCUCUGGGCCGUUACUGACGCUGAGGAGCGAAAGCGUGGGGAGCGAACAGG